rnacentral:rRNA from 1 species
GAUGAACGCUGCGGCGUGCCUAAUACAUGCAAGUCGAGCGAACGGACGAGAAGCUUGCUUCUCUGAUGUUAGCGGCGGACGGGUGAGUAACACGUGGAUAACCUACCUAUAAGACUGGGAUAACUUCGGGAAACCGGAGCUAAUACCGGAUAAUAUUUUGAACCGCAUGGUUCAAAAGUGAAAGACGGUCUUGCUGUCACUUAUAGAUGGAUCCGCGCUGCAUUAGCUAGUUGGUAAGGUAACGGCUUACCGAGGCAACGAUGCAUAGCCGACCUGAGAGGGUGAUCGGCCACACUGGAACUGAGACACGGUCCAGACUCCUACGGGAGGCAGCAGUAGGGAAUCUUCCGCAAUGGGCGAAAGCCUGACGGAGCAACGCCGCGUGAGUGAUGAAGGUCUUCGGAUCGUAAAACUCUGUUAUUAGGGAAGAACAUAUGUGUAAGUAACUGUGCACAUCUUGACGGUACCUAAUCAGAAAGCCACGGCUAACUACGUG